UCGUAACAAGGUUUCCGUAGGUGAACCUGCGGAAGGAUCAUUACCGAGUGAGGGCCCUCUGGGUCCAACCUCCCACCCGUGUUUAUUUUACCUUGUUGCUUCGGCGGGCCCGCCUUUACUGGCCGCCGGGGGGCUCACGCCCCCGGGCCCGCGCCCGCCGAAGACACCCUCGAACUCUGUCUGAAGAUUGAAGUCUGAGUGAAAAUAUAAAUUAUUUAAAACUUUCAACAACGGAUCUCUUGGUUCCGGCAUCGAUGAAGAACGCAGCGAAAUGCGAUACGUAAUGUGAAUUGCAAAUUCAGUGAAUCAUCGAGUCUUUGAACGCACAUUGCGCCCCCUGGUAUUCCGGGGGGCAUGCCUGUCCGAGCGUCAUUGCUGCCCUCAAGCCCGGCUUGUGUGUUGGGCCCCGUCCUCCGAUUUCCGGGGGACGGGCCCGAAAGGCAGCGGCGGCACCGCGUCCGGUCCUCGAGCGUAUGGGGCUUUGUCACCCGCUCUGUAGGCCCGGCCGGCGCUUGCCGAUCAACCCAAAUUUUUAUCCAGGUUGACCUCGGAUCAGGUAGGGAUACCCGCUGAACCUAAGCA
rnacentral:misc_RNA from 1 species